rnacentral:tRNA from 1 species
GAUUUGCUAGCUCAGCUGGUAGAGCACAUCCCUUUUAAGGAUGGGGUCCCGGGUUCGAACCCCGGGCAAAUCA